CUAGCCUGCUAAAUAGUACACCGGUAAAUCGUGUUCGUACGGAAUGCAAUGUUGAUUAUGUGCGAUGUUGUCAAUAAUGGCAAUGCAUUAUAAUGUACUGUUAUUGUUGGUGAUGUCUGUGCAGUUUGGCAUGGCUUUCUGACGAACACUAAGCAGGUGAAACUUCUUAGAGGGACAAGUUGAACUUAAAACAGCACGAAAUUGAGCAAUAACAGGUCUGUGAUSCCCUUAGAUGUCCGGGGCCGUACGCGCGCUACAAUGACAGUACCAGUGUGUAUGAUGACCUUGCCUGAAAAGGUUGGGCAAACCGUUCCAUUACUGUCGUGACAGGGAUCGGGGUUUGUAAUUAUCCCCCGUGAACGAGGAAUUCCCAGUAAGUGCAAGUCAUAAGCUUGUGCUGAUUACGUCCCUGCCCUUUGUACACACCGCCCGUCGCUACUACCGAUUGAAUGGUUUGGCAAGGCCCUCAGAUUGGCACCAUUGUAGUAUUUCGUUUCCACAAUUUAGUGGUACGUUUGCUCGACAGGUACUGAGAAGAGGACCAAACUUGAUCAUUUAGAGGAAGUAAAAGUCGUAACAAGGUUUCCGUAGUGAACCUGCGGAAGGAUCAUUA
rnacentral:rRNA from 1 species